rnacentral:lncRNA from 1 species
UUGUUCUCUAACAACCACGUGCACUCUCGCUCCAGUGUCACUACACCACAGACUUAAGAUCUAUCUGUCCGAAGGAAGCGAUCUGUGCACUGGUCUAUCUAGAUCAAUCACCAUCCCCAUGAUGAUCCUAUGAUCAAGAGUAAUUUAGGAAUUAACCAUCAAUGACACGUCUCAAAUUCUCAACUCUUUGAGAAUAUGUGUCAUCAUCUUGUUACUCCCUUGGA